rnacentral:rRNA from 1 species
UGGCUCAGAUUGAACGCUGGCGGCAGGCCUAACACAUGCAAGUCGAGCGGUAGCACAAGGAGCUUGCUCCUGGGUGACGAGCGGCGGACGGGUGAGUAAUGUCUGGGAAACUGCCCGAUGGAGGGGGAUAACUACUGGAAACGGUAGCUAAUACCGCAUAACGUCUUCGGACCAAAGUGGGGGACCUUCGGGCCUCACACCAUCGGAUGUGCCCAGAUGGGAUUAGCUAGUAGGUGAGGUAAUGGCUCACCUAGGCGACGAUCCCUAGCUGGUCUGAGAGGAUGACCAGCCACACUGGAACUGAGACACGGUCCAGACUCCUACGGGAGGCAGCAGUGGGGAAUAUUGCACAAUGGGCGCAAGCCUGAUGCAGCCAUGCCGCGUGUGUGAAGAAGGCCUUCGGGUUGUAAAGCACUUUCAGCGAGGAGGAAGGGUUCAGUGUUAAUAGC